UUUUGAUUAAGAGUUUGAUCCUGGCUCAGGAUGAACGCUGGCGGCGUGCCUAACACAUGCAAGUCGAGCGAUUCAAAUGUUCAACACUGAGUAUUCGGUGGCAUUCAUUGAGUAUUGAGUGUUGAACAUUUGAAUAGCGGCGGACGGGUGAGUAACGCGUGGGCAACCUACCCUGUACAGAGGGACAACAACGGGAAACCGUUGCUAAUACCUCAUAAAACCCUAAAGGGGCAUCCCUUAUGGGUCAAAGAAUUUCGGUACAGGAUGGGCCCGCGUCUGAUUAGCUAGUU
rnacentral:rRNA from 1 species